rnacentral:rRNA from 1 species
UCAAGUAGAAAGGGCACAGGGCGGAUGCCUUGGCUCCGGGAAGCGAAGAAGGACGCGGCCAGCUGCGAUAAGCCUCGGGGAGGAGCAAACAUCCUUUGAUCCGGGGAUUUCCGAAUGGGGAAACCCGCACAGGUGUUGAGCCUGUGCACUGUCAUCUGAAUACAUAGGAUGUCAGGGCAAACCCAGGGAACUGAAACAUCUCAGUACCUGGAGGAAGAGAAAUCAACCGAGAUUCCCUCAGUAGCGGCGAGCGAACGGGGAAGAGCCCAAACCGUCGGGUGCGCCCGGCGGGGUUGUAGGACCGUCAACGAAGUGGAGUCUGAAGGUUAGCGGAAGUGUCUGGGAAGGCACGGCAUAGAGGGUUAGACCCCCGUACGUGAAAGCCGGAGGGCCUACGAGACGGCACCUGAGUAGGGCGGGACACGUGGAACCCCGCUUGAAUCUGGGGGGACCUCCCUCCAAGGCUAAAUAUUACCCGGAGACCGAUAGUGAACCAGUACCGUGAGGGAAAGGUGAAAAGCACCUCGAACAGAGGAGUGAAAUAGUUCCUGAAACCUUGUGUCUACAAGCAGUGGAAGCCUUUAGGGGCGACCGCGUGCCUUUUGCAUAAUGAGCCAACGAGUUGUCCGUCGGCGGCUAGGUUAAGCCAGUGGUGUAGCCGCAGCGAAAGCGAGUCUGAACAGGGCGUUCAGUCGCCGGCGACAGACCCGAAACCGAGUGAUCUAUCCCUGUCCAGGUUGAAGCCUGGGUAAGACCAGGUGGAGGACCGAACCAUUGUGCCUUAAAAAGCGCUUGGAUGAGGUGGGGAUAGGAGUGAAAGGCUAAUCAAACUCGGAGAUAUCUGGUUCUCCCCGAAACCUAUUUAGGUAGGGCCUCGCGUCAGGCCGCCGGAGGUAGAGCACUGGAUGGACUAGGGCCCCCACCAGGGUACCAAACCCAACCAAACUGCGAAUGCCGGCGAGUCGUUUCGCGGGAGUCAGACGGCGGGAGCUAACUUUCGUCGUCGAAAGGGAAACAACCCAGAUCGCCAGCUAAGGCCCCCAAGUCAUGGCUAAGUGGGAAAGGAAGUGGGAACGCCCAGACAACCAGGAGGUUAGCUUAGAAGCAGCUACCCUUUAAAGAAAGCGUAAUAGCUCACUGGUCAAGCGGGCCUGCACCGAAAAUAUAACGGGGCUCAAGCCAUGCGCCGAAGCUGCGGAACGUUUCUUUUGAGACGUUGGUAGGGGAGCGUUCCCCGGGCGGUGAAGCUGUGGUGUAAACCAUGGUGGAGCGCGGGGAAGUGAGGAUGUUGGCAUGAGUAACGAAAAUGCGGGCGAGAAACCCGCACGCCGAAAGUCCAAGGUUUCCUGGGCCAGGUUAAUCCGCCCAGGGUUAGUCGGCACCUAAGGCGAGGCCGAAAGGCGUAGUCGAAGGCAAACCGGUUCAUAUUCCGGUACUUGCCUUGGCGCGUGAUGGAGGGACGCAGGAGGAUAGGUCGGCCGGGUGAUGGAUGUCCCGGUUUAAGGUGGUAGCCGGAAGCUUCAGGCAAAUCCGGAGCUUCAACGGCGAGAGCUGAUGACGAGAGGCUUUGCCUCGCAAAGCGAUCGAUUCCACACUGCCUAGAAAAGCUUCUAAGCAUAGCCAAGGCGAACCGUACCCCAAACCGACACAGGUGGACAGGUAGAGCAUACCAAGGCGCUUGAGAGAAACCAUGUUAAGGAACUCUGCAAAUUAACUCCGUACCCUUGGAAGAAGGAGUGCCCGCCAGGUGAAGGGGCUUGCCCCCGGAGCUCAGGUGGGUCGCAGUGACCAGGCCUGGCCGACUGUUUAGCAAAAACACAGCACUCUGCAAACUCGCAAGAGGAAGUAUAGGGUGUGACGCCUGCCCGGUGCCGGAAGGUUAACAGGAGAGGUCAGCUUACGCGAAGCCUCGAAUCGAAGCCCCGGUAAACGGCGGCCGUAACUAUAACGGUCCUAAGGUAGCGAAAUUCCUUGUCGGGUAAGUUCCGACCU